GAUGAAGAACGUAGCGAAAUGCGAUACGUAAUGUGAAUUGCAGAAUUCAGUGAAUCAUCGAAUCUUUGAACGCAUAAUGCGCUCUCUGGUAUUCCGGAGAGCAUGCUUGUUUGAGUAUCAGUAAACACCUCAACUUCCAUAUCUUUUUUGAAAUGGGAGUUGGACUUGAGUGAUCCCAACGCUUUUCCUCACCGAAAAGUGGCGGGUUACUUGAAAUGCAGGUGCAGCUGGACUUUUCUCUGAGCUAUAAGCAUAUCUAUUUAGUCUGCCUAAAAAACAGAUUAUUACCUUUGCUGCAGCUAACAUAAAGGAGAUUAGUUCUUGUGCUGACUGAUGCAGGAUUCACAAAGACGGCUUCGGCCGACUUUGUAAACUCGAUCUCAAAUCAAGUAAGACUACCCGCUGAACUUAAGCAUAUCAAUAAGCGGAGGA
rnacentral:misc_RNA from 1 species